rnacentral:rRNA from 1 species
CCCUUAGAUGUUCUGGGCCGCACGCGCGCUACACUGAUGCAUUCAACGAGUCUAAAACCUGCUCUGAUAGGGGUGGGUAAUCUUUUGAAACUUCAUCGUGCUGGGGAUAGACCAUUGCAAUUAUUGGUCUUGAACGAGGAAUUCCUAGUAAGCAUGAGUCAUCAACUCGUGCUGAUUACGUCCCUGCCCUUUGUACACACCGCCCGUCGCUACUACCGAUUGAAUGGUUUAGUGAGAUCUCGGGAUUGGAGACGUUGCGCCGCAAGGCACAUCGUCCUCGAGAACUUGAUCAAACUUGAUCAUUUAGAGGAAGUAAAAGUCGUAACA